rnacentral:precursor_RNA from 10 species
GGGACAGAGAGAGAGAGAGCUCGUUUCGGUUGAGGUAGAUGGUUGUAUGGUAGAGAGUCUUAUCACUAAACAUGGAGGACCGUACAACCUUCUAGCUUUACCGAAGCGCAGCCAGACACGCCACCUAGCGA